AUUGAACGCUGGCGGCAGGCCUAACACAUGCAAGUCGAGCGGCAGCGACUUAACUGAACCUUCGGGGAACAUUAAGGGCGGCGAGCGGCGGACGGGUGAGUAAUGCCUGGGAAUAUGCCCUGAUGUGGGGGAUAACUAUUGGAAACGAUAGCUAAUACCGCAUAAUCUCUUCGGAGCAAAGAGGGGGACCUUCGGGCCUCUCGCGUCAGGAUUAGCCCAGGUGGGAUUAGCUUGUUGGUGAGGUAAUGGCUCACCAAGGCUACGAUCCCUAGCUGGUCUGAGAGGAUGAUCAGCCACACUGGAACUGAGACACGGUCCAGACUCCUACGGGAGGCAGCAGUGGGGAAUAUUGCACAAUGGGGGAAACCCUGAUGCAGCCAUGCCGCGUGUGUGAAGAAGGCCUUCGGGUUGUAAAGCACUUUCAGUAGGGAGGAGGGUAGUGUAGUUAACACCUGCACUAUUUGACGUUACCUACAGAAGAAGCACCGGCUAACUCCGUGCCAGCAGCCGCGGUAAUACGGAGGGUGCGAGCGUUAAUCGGAAUUACUGGGCGUAAAGCGCAUGCAGGCGGCCUGUUAAGUCAGAUGUGAAAGCCCGGGGCUUAACCUCGGAAUUGCAUUUGAAACUGGCAGGCUAGAGUCUUGUAGAGGGGGGUAGAAUUUCAGGUGUAGCGGUGAAAUGCGUAGAGAUCUGAAGGAAUACCAGUGGCGAAGGCGGCCCCCUGGACAAAGACUGACGCUCAGAUGCGAAAGCGUGGGGAGCAAACAGG
rnacentral:rRNA from 1 species